GCUGUGAACCUCUUCCAAUUUUUCCCAAGUUGCUCCAUCUGAAGUUGUAUUGUGAUUAUCACAAUUUUGAAAGGGGAGUUGCAAAUUUACUGACAGAUUCGAGUAGACUACAAUCACUUUUCUUUUAUCAGGAAGCUCUCACCAAUCUCCCAGAAAAAGUGCCUCACUGUAUAUUGUAUCAACUCAAGGUGAUUGAAAUUUCAGGGUUUAUGACUAACAAAGAUUGUAUUGGAAAGGCAAAGUAUUUCCUAGAGAACGCAACAGUAGUAAUGAAGUUGAUCAUACCUACAGUACCAUUUCUUUCAGAAGAACAAAAAUCGAGAAUCUACCAACAGUUGAUGGCUUCUCCAAGUAAAUCAAAGCAAUGCUGCAUCUUGGUUGUUUGAUAUCCUUUGUAUUUCCUUGGAAACAUUUUCAAGUCUUAAUUCUAGUGCAAGGGAAUGUAGUUUAAUACUUUCAUGAUCAAAUGCCAAAUCGAAGUUUGCAAAAGCAAAUUUAUUGAGAUA